rnacentral:rRNA from 1 species
AAACCAACAGGGAUUGCCCUAGUAACGGCGAGUGAAGCGGCAACAGCUCAAAUUUGAAAUCUGGCGCAAGCCCGAGUUGUAAUUUGUAGAGGAUGCUUCUAGGCAGCGGCCGGUCUAAGUUUCUUGGAACAGGACGUCAUAGAGGGUGAGAAUCCCGUAUGUGACCGGUUGGCACCUUACACGUAGCUCCUUCGACGAGUCGAGUUGUUUGGGAAUGCAGCUCUAAAUGGGAGGUAAAUUUCUUCUAAAGCUAAAUACCGGCCAGAGACCGAUAGCGCACAAGUAGAGUGAUCGAAAGAUGAAAAGCACUUUGGAAAGAGAGUUAAAAAGCACGUGAAAUUGUUAAAAGGGAAGCGCUUGCAACCAGACUUGUCGGCGGUGUUCCGCCGGUCUUCUGACCGGUCUAUUCGCCGCCUGCAGGCCAGCGUCGUCUGGGGCCGCCGGAUAAAGGCUUUGGGAAUGUAGCUCCUCGGAGUGUUAUAGCCCUUUGCACAAUACGGUGCGCGCCGGGCGAGGUCCGCGCUUCGGCAAGGACGCUGGCGUAAUGGUCGUAAGCGGC